GACAGAGGUGCCAAGCGUUAGGCGGAAUCACUGGGCUUAAAGCGCGUGUAGGCGGACUUCUAAGUGCUUUGUGAAAUCCCACGGCUCAACCGUGGAACUGCUUGGCAUACUGGGAGUCUUGAGCCACUCAGGGGCUACUGGAACAAACGGUGGAGCGGUGAAAUGCAUAGAUAUCGUUUGGAACGCCAACGGUGAAAACAGGUAGCUGGGGGUGCGCUGACGCUGAGAAGCGAAAGCCAGGGGAUCAAACGGG
rnacentral:rRNA from 1 species